ACUCCUGCGGGAGGCAGCAGUGGGGAAUAUUGCACAAUGGGCGCAAGCCUGAUGCAGCCAUGCCGCGUGUAUGAAGAAGGCCUUCGGGUUGUAAAGUACUUUCAGCGGGGAGGAAGGCGAUAAGGUUAAUAACCUUGUCGAUUGACGUUACCCGCAGAAGAAGCACCGGCUAACUCCGUGCCAGCAGCCGCGGUAAUACGGAGGGUGCAAGCGUUAAUCGGAAUUACUGGGCGUAAAGCGCACGCAGGCGGUCUGUCAAGUCGGAUGUGAAAUCCCCGGGCUCAACCUGGGAACUGCAUUCGAAACUGGCAGGCUAGAGUCUUGUAGAGGGGGGUAGAAUUCCAGGUGUAGCGGUGAAAUGCGUAGAGAUCUGGAGGAAUACCGGUGGCGAAGGCGGCCCCCUGGACAAAGACUGACGCUCAGGUGCGAAAGCGUGGGGAGCAAACAGGAUUAGAAACCCCGGUAGUCC
rnacentral:rRNA from 1 species